CUACUCUCCACUAUGCCCAACCGAGCCAGGUGGGCCGGGAGGGUGGAGUGACCAAAACGCAGUCUGUUUAUAGUCGUAAUAAAGUCCCGAUUGGCUAUUUUCAAUUUGUUAUACCAUGGUGCUACAGUACAAUGAGAGGUAGAACUGGGAGAUAACCUCGUAAAAGCUCACCCCCCGAAGUCUGCUGAGCCAAGCAUUGUACAGGAAAAGAUCUGACAAGAGAGAGAUGAAGCUGUCAGCACAACUUCGGCCUCUCCAGAAGCCAUAUUGAACAUGUGGAAUGAUGUUGUUCACCUCUACAUAAUACUCAAGACGCAUCUUUAUCAUGUUUUCAUUAAGCUUCCCAACACAAGAUGUCAAUGAUAUGGGACGAUAUGAGUUAGGAUCUUCAGGUGGCUUGUCAAGCUUAAGUAGAGGGAUUACACACUGUGUUUUCCAAGAUUUAGGAAUUUUCUUUAAGUGCCAAAGAGCAUUAAGAUUAGCUAAUAGUUUCUUUUGAACGGACUUAUUUAGGUUUUUGAUCAAAAUGUAUGGACAAUCAUCUAAACCAGGGGUUGUGUUUCGUUUGCAUUGUAAACUUGUACAAAACUCACUCCAAGUAAAGGGUUCUAUGAGGAAACUGGACUUCUGAAGGCUAUUAUUAAUUUGAAAAUAACUUUAACUAACUUAAAUAAAUCUAGAUUACCAAUAACACUACAUCCAUUAUGAGAUAAUUUUUCUGACAACAAAUUCAUCUUUAUAUGUUCUGUUAUUGCAUAUUAUUCGUUUAAAUAACUUGAUGUAUUUUCAAAUAAUACUAACAAGUGUAGUUCUGUUAAAAGUAUUACAGA